UAGAGUUUGAUCCUGGCUCACAGCGAACGCUGGCGGCAGGCUUAACACAUGCAAGUCGAGCGGGCAUAGCAAUAUGUCAGCGGCAGACGGGUGAGUAACGCGUGGGAACGUACNNNUUGGUUCGGAACAACACAGGGAAACUUGUGCUAAUACCGGAUAAGCCCUUACGGGGAAAGAUUUAUCGCCGAAAGAUCGGCCCGCGUCUGAUUAGCUAGUUGGUGAGGUAAUGGCUCACCAAGGCGACGAUCAGUAGCUGGUCUGAGAGGAUGAUCAGCCACAUUGGGACUGAGACACGGCCCAAACUCCUACGGGAGGCAGCAGUGGGGAAUAUUGGACAAUGGGCGCAAGCCUGAUCCAGCCAUGCCGCGUGAGUGAUGAAGGCCCUAGGGUUGUAAAGCUCUUUUGUGCGGGAAGAUAAUGACGGUACCGCAAGAAUAAGCCCCGGCUAACUUCGUGCCAGCAGCCGCGGUAAUACGAAGGGGGCUAGCGUUGCUCGGAAUCACUGGGCGUAAAGGGUGCGUAGGCGGGUCUUUAAGUCAGGGGUGAAAUCCUGGAGCUCAACUCCAGAACUGCCUUUGAUACUGAAGAUCUUGAGUUCGGGAGAGGUGAGUGGAACUGCGAGUGUAGAGGUGAAAUUCGUAGAUAUUCGCAAGAACACCAGUGGCGAAGGCGGCUCACUGGCCCGAUACUGACGCUGAGGCACGAAAGCGUGGGGGAGCAAACAG
rnacentral:rRNA from 1 species